GACUCCGUGGCGUAAUUGGUAGCGCUUCAGAUUCCAAUGACUGGGAUAUACUCACGUAUUCCUGAAGGUUGUCCGUUCGAGUCGGGCCGGGGUCG
rnacentral:tRNA from 2 species